GAAAGCCAAAUCUGAGAGCUGUUUCCUUCCUAUAUCCGAGCUGGUUCCCGGAGCACCUGAGCUGGAAACGGGCCUGAGUCAGAGAGAGGCGACUCCUCUCACAGAGAGUUGACGCCAGACUGGGAAUAGCUCCAGUCAGUGUCAGGAAUGGUGAUAAAGGGCUGGAGAAGCCUUCAGACCUGGCUUCAGAGCCCGUGCCUGCACUGCCGCCGCCGAGGGGGAGACUCUUGUCUAUUUCUCUGCGGCCAGCCACAGACCCCAGGCCACGGCCAGCCACACUCAGGCCUGCCUUAAUUCAAAUCCUGACUUUCUGCUUUUUCUACUUGGCCUCCAACAACAACAACAAACAACAGCAGCAACAACAACAAAUGUGGCCUCUCUAGGCAGCCCUUAUCAAAUUGCUGGGGACGAAGCCUAGGACCCCACAGAUACUAAGCAUUCAGAGAGCAAUAAUGGAGUUACCACCCUGGCCCUGUUACCCUGUUAACACAGGAGGGUGGUCAUGGACAAGUGGUUAAAGGCACUGUAAGGCUUCUCACAGGACCAGAUGUGGUUUGUUGAGUGUGAAAACCGACCACUCCCAAGGACCAGAUUCUGAACCCUGUGGACCUGGCCGGUGAACAUCUCCAUGGAAGAUGCUUUCUGUAUCCAGCCUCAAUCCAGGUGAUCGGAGAUCUUUCCCUAAGUGUCAUGGGGAUGGGGUGAAGAAUAAAGACAUCUACAUACUGAAAUGUGACUUAUGCCGUCUCUGAUCCUAGCUGUUUGAGAAGGCUUAUCCUUCCUCCCUCCCUUCCUUCCUUUCUUCCCCAUUUUCCUCCUCUUCUU